rnacentral:tRNA from 1 species
UCUGGAUUGGCAGAUAUUUAUGCGUUAAGUUUAGGGUUUAGUUAAGUGCGUUUACAUUCAGUA